AGAGCGAACGCUGGCGGCAGGCCUAACACAUGCAAGUCGAGCGCCCGUAGCAAUACGGGAGCGGCAGACGGGAUAGUAACACGUGGGAACGCGCCCUUCGGUUCGGAAUAACUCAGGGAAACUUGAGCUAAUACCGGAUACGCCCUUACGGGGAAAGAUUUAUUGCCGAAGGAACGGCCCGCGUCCGAUUAGCUAGUUGGUGAGGUAAUGGCUCACCAAGGCGACGAUCGGUAGCUGGUCUGAGAGGAUGACCAGCAUCACUGGGACUGAGACACGGCCCAGACUCCUACGGGAGGCAGCAGUGGGGAAUAUUGGACAAUGGGCGCAAGCCUGAUCCAGCCAUGCCGCGUGGAUGAUGAAGGCCUUAGGGUUGUAAAGUCCUUUUAACGGGGAAGUAUAAUGACGGUACCCGUAGAAAUAAGCCCCGGCUAACUUCGCGCCAGCGAGCCGC
rnacentral:rRNA from 1 species